rnacentral:lncRNA from 1 species
GGAAUUCUGCUUGACAUUCUUGUAGCAAUGGGAAUAGUAAAAUCGAAUCAUUUCUGGCUCGACGUGGAGCACGUCCAGGAAGCUCUUCAGAACAUGUUAGUGAUUGUGGAGAUGGUUUUCUUCUCACGCUUGAUGCAAUAUGCAUACACAGCUGCACCUUACCGCAAUGCUUCAGUUUCAGAAACCAGUGACAAAAAGAAAGAGUGAUUGGAAAUCUUAAGGUAUAUUUCGAGCAACAUUAUAGUUGUAUUGUGGUGUGUACUGGUGCCAUUCAUGUCGAGACUCAGAUGCAUUAUGUUUGCGCAUGUAAUGAAUAUAUGGCGAAGUGUUGCAAAAUAACAUAGGUAUUGGAACUGUCGGACGUGUAGUUUGUUGUGAAGUGGUUGAACCAUGCAUUGUACUUUUUUCAAAAAUUAAGUCAACUGUACCCUUGUCAAAAUUUGGUUUAAAGUAUUAUCUAUAAUCUAUAAUAUAUUAAAGUAUCGCAUCGAGGGUGAAUCAUUUUUUGAAUCAUUUUAACCUUUCUAUAAUUCAAUUAUUUCAACAAUACUUUACUUUUCAUUUUUCGAUAUAUAAUAAAUAUCACAUAAUUAUUGUCUUUUAUGAAAUUUAUGUUAUUAAUUAAUAAUUCUCAAUAAAUUAACAUUUAUAUUAAUCAAGAUUCAAUGAAUUCUCACUUGAUGAAUUUUCAAUUAUAUGAAUCUAGAGUCAUUAUAGAUGAAUUUAUUUAUGUUCAUGUAUGUAGAAAUUUUAAUGAAUGUUUAAAUUUAUGUAUUAAUAAUUAAUUUUUAUGUAUAAAACGUAAUAUAAAAAGAUUCCUCAUUUAUAGCAUUUCAUCGUUACAAAAAAAUUGAAUAAUAGAAAUUGAAUUUUGAGAGUACAAUUUUCUUCUUUUAAAUUUUUAUGCUAAAUUUUAUUUUAAUUAAUUCGUAUGAAAUUCAUCAAAUCUUCCAAUAAAUUGAUAACAAAGAUCAUUUUUACUAUAAGUAUUUUAGAAUAAAUUGCAAUGCCUUACUGUUAAAAUAAACGUGUAGAAACGCUGUGACGACACAAUAAUGUGAAAUAUGAGGGAAAAAAAAUCUACACACAGCCUGAUUGCGGAGGAGGGGGGGGGGGGCGUUAGUUAUCUUGUUUCAUAUCAAUAAUAUUUUCUUGAUUUCUUCAUCGAAACACUUUAACUUAUCUUGUUAUUGAUCUUAUCCCAGCCAUCAAAUUAUACAUCAACAGCCCGGAUUCUGUAAGUAUCUCUUUGAUUCUCUGUGUUUUGCAAUUUCAAUUGGAAGAAAUCACCAGCGUUGGAAUAAGAUUGUUGAAAACUGGAUUGAAGUGUUAAUGGAAAACUGAAUAAUCCGGUUAAGCUUGGCGUUUUUUAGCUGGGUCUUACCGCGUACUGUUCUUGUUGCAAUUUGGGAAUUUAAUCGUAGGUCCUCAAAAUAAUAAUAAUAAUAAUAAUUUCAUUUUUUUUUCUUGCCUUCUUAAUAAUAUGAGGAGGAAAGGAAGAUUAGGCUGCAAACCAGAAAGAGCUGUAUCAGUGUAUGUGAUAGAGUGCUGAUCUGUCUCUAAAACAGGGUUUGGUUGGGUUGAUUAUAUACUGAACCUUACUUUGAUAAGACUCGAUUUCAAACGAGAAAUUGAAUAGGUGGGAUUUGCUGUAACAUAAAAAAUAAAAAAAUUGUUUGGCACAUAUUAGUGGACUGGAUAGUAGAAUAAACAACUUACCAACAUGCCAUUAGUAGAUUAGGAUUUAAGCAUUGUUAAUUCUUUUUUUCUUUUUUAUCAAAAUGAGGAUUUGAGGCAUUGAUCUGACUUUCGGUGAAGACAAAAGUUAUCGCUAAAGAGUACCAAAAUCCAAGUGAAGGGAAAUGAUAUGGGCAGAGCAAUGGUUGGGGAGAAUAUUGUGGUUGGUGAGACUUGAGAGAGGAAGAUUUGGCUAAACAUUGAAUGGAGCAUGAUGCAUAAAGUAUUUUUAUUGUCAUGAUUUCUGAUUACCAAGUCUUUUGGGAGCCAGCCCUUAUGCAAGAUAAGGUGAUGGCUGCUCCUCCUCUAGUGGAGGCAUUCUGCAAUUCUAGAUUGACCUUGAGCACUUUAUGUCGGUAUAUACAAGUAGGCUAUGCACAGUUGUCAUUGCAUGGCGCAUGAUUGUCAUAUUUCCUCACUUCUUGCCUCUCGGUCUGAGGUGAAGACUUAUUAAUGAAGCUCCUCGCUUCAAGCUUUAGCUGGUUAUUGUCUCAUUUAAUAUGGGUGCUCAUUGUUGCAAGGUUGAGGUGACUACGUAUUUCUAUGUUUAUGACCUUAAGAGUUCAUCUUUGCUACCCAUCAUCAGAUUUCAUAAUGUAUUUGCCACAGGUGUUUAGUUCUUAAUCUCUUGUUACAUAGACGUAUAUGAUUCUGUUUUUCCAUGAUUGUUUCUGAAGUGAUAGUAGUGGAAAAUAUUGGUUAUUGUAAUCUUAUUAUUAAGUAAAAUUGAAUGAAUACCGCUGAAUUUUAUUCUGCUACAGUAAAUUGGGAUAUGCCGUAAGGAGCUGAAUUUUUAGCUAGAUUGUCGUACACUUGAAUAUUUAUGAUUUUAUUAUUUAGGUGGAAGAAAAUCAUAUUUACGUUGUUUAUCCAGAUGGUAAAUAUUUUUUUUUUGGGUAUGCAAAUUUACAUAUGCUCUUAACAGUAGAUUUUAGACAUUUCCCUGCAUUUUUCACAAAAAGUUGAUAAAAGUUAUCUGUUCUAUGGAAAAAUAAAGAGAAGUGAGAUAAUGUAUAUGCAAGAGGUUAUUCAGAAGAUGUUUUACCUGCAAUUUAAACUGUUUUAAUUUUUAAAUUUCCACUGUCCCUAUGUGGAGAGAACGGUGAACAAGAAAGAAAAAAAUUUAUUACCAGGAGUCAUAUUCUUCAAAAAUUUGCACUUCUGGUUUGGUUGAUAGGAAAUUUGACAUAAAUGGUUGCAAUUUGAAAUUAAGCAUCUACUUGCAGGUUGAAAGAGUGAUCUUAAGAUUGGCUACCAGAAGAUACUUCCAGAAUGGAAUAUCUACCAAAGGAUUUCUCCGGAAUGGACCGCGGGAAACUCACACUGAUGGGGUCCACUGUAUGUGUAAUGCUCACUCUACACUUUGCGAUACAGCUUGUAUCUGAACAUUUCCAAUCUUGGAAGAAGCCAAAGGAACAGAAGGCAAUAGUAAUUAUUGUCCUCAUGGCUCCAUUAUAUGCCAUUGACUCCUACGUUGGUCUGCUAGACAUUCGUGGGAGCGCAACAUUUUUCACAUUCUUGGAUUCUGUCAAAGAAUGCUAUGAGGCUCUGGUAAAUGUUCAACGACUACGCAUUCUGUAACUCCAACUUGUGGUUUUAGUCAUCAGAGCCAAGUUGGAUAAUUCACGCAUAGCACUUUAUUUUUGCCUGCUUUAUCAACUUUUUUUUUUUUUUUGUGGUGGGAAUUAACUUUAUCUUUUGAUGAAGUGUAGGUGAUGGCUAAGUUUUUGGCUUUGAUGUAUACUUAUUUGAACAUAUCUAUCAGCAAAAAUAUAGUGCCUGAUGAAAUUAAAGGAAGAGAGAUUCACCACUCAUUCCCAAUGACUCUUUUCCAGGUCGAGCUCUCCAUUCUUCAACCAAUGGAUGUUGUAAUGUGAUAAAUUAGCAGUAUGUUAAUCUUCACCCUUGGGACGUAUUAUCAUCCAACUUGAUUUGUUUGUGAUAUUUUUAAAUGGAAUUAUUCUCAUAAUUUAAAGCAAAUGCAAGCCAUCAUCUUGCCUCUUGAAUCUUCAUAAUUAUGAAUUUUUCAGUCUGUUUUUAACCUCAUGAACCACAGUAAUGUCUAAAUGCACCAUUUUGGCAAUUGCAGCCUCACGCUGUCCAUCUGGACCAUAAGAAUUUAAAGCUUCUCAAGCAAUGGACAUGGCAGUUUGUGGUAAUUCGCCCAGUUUGCUCUGUCUUGAUGAUAGCUCUUCAGCUUCUUGGAAUAUAUCCCAGUUGGCUCAGCUGGACAUUCACCAUGAUCUUGAACGUUUCUGUUUCUUUGGCAUUGUAUUCCCUUGUGGUUUUCUACCAUGUUUUUGCGAAAGAGUUAGCACCGCAUAAACCACUUGCCAAGUUUUUGUGCGUCAAAGGCAUCGUCUUCUUCUGUUUCUGGCAGGUAUGCUUAUCGUAUAUAAUCUUCUGAAACACCAGUCUAGUAUACCAAGUUUCAAGAAGUUUUAUACUUUUCAAAUUAAAAGAUUAACCAAGGGUUGAAGUGGGUUUUGGGUCCAUUUGGCAUAACUUCUACUUCUACUUCUUGUAGAGGAGCUUCAAGAGUUAGUCGCCUUGGACCAGCUUUUUCAAAAGAGAUCUUCUAAUUGAACAAAGAACUUCUAGAAAAUUAUCCAAACACGUUCAAAAGUAUCUUCUUAGCCUCAAAAACAAUUUUUUUGGCUUUUUAAAAGCCUUGCAAAACAUGUCCCAUACAUAGGUGGAAUUGGUGGCUUGCAUGUUCUUUGCUUUCUCUCCUCUUCAAACAUUUAUCGAUUGUGAAAUGAUUAUUUAGAUGCGUUUUCUAUCCUUUCCCAGGGAAUUCUGCUUGACAUUCUUGUAGCAAUGGGAAUAGUAAAAUCGAAUCAUUUCUGGCUCGACGUGGAGCACGUCCAGGAAGCUCUUCAGAACAUGUUAGUGAUUGUGGAGAUGGUUUUCUUCUCACGCUUGAUGCAAUAUGCAUACACAGCUGCACCUUACCGCAAUGCUUCAGUUUCAGAAACCAGUGACAAAAAGAAAGAGUGAUUGGAAAUCUUAAGGUAUACAAAGAACUUCUAGAAAAUUAUCCAAACACGUUCAAAAGUAUCUUCUUAGCCUCAAAAACAAUUUUUUUGGCUUUUUAAAAGCCUUGCAAAACAUGUCCCAUAUAUAGGUGGAAUUGGUAGCUUGCUGGUAGCUUGCGUGUUCUUUGCUUUCUCUCCUCUUCAAACAUUUAUCGAUUGUGAAAUGAUUAUUUAGAUGCGUUUUCUAUCCUUUCCCAGGGAAUUCUGCUUGACAUUCUUGUAGCAAUGGGAAUAGUAAAAUCGAAUCAUUUCUGGCUCGACGUGGAGCACGUCCAGGAAGCUCUUCAGAACAUGUUAGUGAUUGUGGAGAUGGUUUUCUUCUCACGCUUGAUGCAAUAUGCAUACACAGCUGCACCUUACCGCAAUGCUUCAGUUUCAGAAACCAGUGACAAAAAGAAAGAGUGAUUGGAAAUCUUAAGGUAUAUUUCGAGCAACAUUAUAGUUGUAUUGUGGUGUGUACUGGUGCCAUUCAUGUCGAGACUCAGAUGCAUUAUGUUUGCGCAUGU